rnacentral:lncRNA from 1 species
GGGAAGGGUACGCGUGUGUGUGUAAUGAACUAAGCCGCGAGGGGUGUGUAUAUGUGCGUAUGUAUGUAGGGUAAUGGAUGCUACUUAAGUAGUUGUGACUUAACUCCCCCUGCCUGAUGCCUGGUUAGGCUCCAAACAGCCCCUCCGUUGAUCGCGAAUCCGACGUUGCCACCUAACCAAAAGCCCGUCUCCACUACCAUUUCCUCAUAUUCGAACCCAUCGGAAUAAACAGACAGGCAAACAGACAGACAGACAGACAAACACUUCAUCGUCACGCACACGCCGC